GAACUCCGCUAUCAAUUUAGCCCGACGGAUAAUGAGUCCGUCGGGAUGGGGGUGUAGUGAGCUUCCCGAACUCCCAGAUGAAGCUUUAGCCGUAAAGGCGGGUGGAACGGGAGAAGUUCCGCCCUUUAGGGCGGGGUAGCUCACACUCUUCUGAACUCUUU
rnacentral:snoRNA from 1 species